AUCUGUCCCUGCAGGAUGCAGAAAAGGUCUUCAUCUCUGGACCAGUUUAUCAUCGGAGUGAAGUGGAGGAGUUUGAUAGGGGGAUAUCUAAACAAUUGCGCACUGAAGGGAGACCAUUCAACUAGAUGAAGUUGUAUGGAGGUCUAGAUGAGGGUCUAGAUGGAGUGAUAUGGAGGGGAUGGAGUGAUAUGGAGG